CCGGCGCACGGGUGAGUAACGCGUAUGCAACCUGCCUGAUACCGGGGUAUAGCCCAUGGAAACGUGGAUUAACACCCCAUAGUACUUUUAUCCUGCAUGGGAUGUGAGUUAAAUGCUCAAGGUAUCGGAUGGGCAUGCGUCCUAUUAGUUAGUUGGCGGGGUAACAGCCCACCAAGACGAUGAUAGGUAGGGGUUCUGAGAGGAAGGUCCCCCACAUUGGAACUGAGACACGGUCCAA
rnacentral:rRNA from 1 species